rnacentral:rRNA from 1 species
CACGUAGGAACCGAGCGUUAUCCGAAUUUACUGGGCGUAAAGCGCGUGUAGGUGGCUCGAUAAGUUGGGUGUGAAAGCUCCUGGCUCAACUAGGAGAGGCCGCUCAAGACUGUCGGGCUUGAGAACGGUAGAGGGAGGUGGAAUUCCCGGUGUAGUGGUGAAAUGCGUAGAUAUCGGGAGGAACACCAGUGGCGAAGGCGGCCUCCUGGACCGUUUCUGACACUGAGACGCGAAAGCUAGGGGAGCGAACGGG